AGGGAGUAUCUGAAAGCUGAGAUGCUGCCUGAUAGUCUUCCUAGAGAAAACUCUGUAGUUUCCUGCUUGUAGUACUUUUGCGAGUCCUGCAAGUUCCAAAUCUUUAGGGAUAUUA